rnacentral:lncRNA from 1 species
GCUCGGGGCCAGCGAUGGUCCCCUAGUGGAUGGCUUUCCUCUCCUCCUCUGGGGCUUCCGGUUGGCAUCGCCUGGACCAUCUCCCCAGCCCUUUGAUCAAGGCUGUCCUGAAAUGCCCUCCCCAGCAACUCCCCCGUGUAAACCCUAUGUUCCCAUAAUCAUAAUCGCGGUGGCUUCGUUUUUCUGACUGAACAUGAUCUGAGUGCCAGAUGUGCUUCCAGGGUGGCAGCGCCUCUAGGAGAGGAGUCUGGAGUGAUCCCUGAUCCGAUGGGUGGUCCUGGGACCUGUGGAGAAGGUGCACUCACACGUGAUCCCGGAGUGGUCACGCGGUUAUCACUGCGAUCAUCUGGAGCCUGGCGCAUGUUUACACAUGGCGCGGCUCUCAGGACCCAUGGCUGCAGCUUGCACCAGGGUCAUAAAAUUGCAGGGUGCAGGGACUGGAUCGCCCUGGGACUCUGAACACCCGCUCCUGACUUUCUGUGCUGGCCUGAAGGAAGCCCUUAUCUCCAGGAUCCACAGGUCUGCAAUUUCUGGGAACCAGUGCAACAGGCUGAGUCAGCCGUGCGGGAUUCACAGCCCUGCAGGUUCUCCAGGUGGAGGUGACAUAGGUGGGGAGAGGCAGGUGGGCAGAAUCUGAGAAGCUGAGACCCUGAAUUCCCCAGUCACUCAGGGCACCGCUUCCUGCUCUUGCCCCGACCACCCUCUCCUGGCCUGAAAGACUCGAGUCCACUGUCACCUCCUAUCACCUAGCACCAGCCUUAAGUCCCAGGGUCAGAGCCAGGAGGAGGGACCAUGCACACAAAAAGAACUGCAAGAUCUUGCCUGUUUUUGUCAACAGAAACACAGGGAAUAUACGUGGCACUGGCUCCUAAGGGUGAUGGACCAGGGUGGAAGACGUGGAAGGUUCGGCCACCGGUGCCCUGACUGCGUCCGCUGGCUUGUGUUGGUCUGAGUGACCAUCAGUGGCUCUAACAGUUCUGAAACACAGACUUGAUGGUUGCCAUCGUAAGAUGAAGCCAAAUGCUACCAGGAAAGACAAACAUCUCAGGAGAGGGAGCUGUCGCCGUGGCUGGGUUUCUUACGCAUGACCUUCUCACCCACCGCGUCACUUCUCCUCCAGAGUCCAGAGGACCCCCUCCCCACAGCAUGGAUGAGAAGAGAGCCCCCACUGUUAGACUCCACCACAGCCGUGACCUGAGGCCGCCGUCACCGUGAGAGAUGCUGCCAUUAUCUCAGAGCCCCCCAAAUUCGAUGGGAAAACGAAAUCUCAGAAGGGCAGGGGCCCGGGGCGAGUCGUCGAUGAGGUGGCUGUGGUCACGCAGUGGGCAGCAGGACUGCCCAAACACGGCCAUGGCUUGGCCCACAGAGAUCUCUGAUGACAACCCGUGAAUCACAGCAUUCCUGGGACUCAAGGAGAGAGCUGUGAUCGUUUGUUCUCUUUUGCUUGUAACAGAAUACCUAAGCCUGUUACAGUGGGCAGCCCGUGUGGUGUGAGCAGGGCAGAAGAGGGUCCACUCACCCCAGGAGCGUCAGCGACCAUCAGGUGCUGGUCAGGCGGUUGUCACACUGUCUCUCUAAAGUAAUAACUGGCCACAGCCGGGGCCAGGGAAAGCCAGGCUCCUAAUAGAAAACACCUGAAGCUG